CUAACGAGGAUUUCCCUAGUAACGGCGAGUGAAAAGGAAAAAGCCCAACGCUGAAUCCAAUAGACAUUAUAUGGCUAUAUGGAAAUGUAGCGUAUAGGUAUAACUAUCCGUAACAUAUUUUUACACCCAAAGUCCCCUUGAGCGGGGCUACAGUCCAUAGAAGGUGCUAGACCUGUACGGGUGAAAAAAGUUACGGUAGGUUAUUCCUUGGAGUCGGGUUGUUUGAGAUUGCAGCCCAAAGAGGGUGGUAAACCUCAUCUAAGGCUAAAUACGACCAUGAGACCGAUAGCAAACAAGUACCGUGAGGGAAAGUUGCAAAGAACUUUGAAGAGAGAGUUCAAGAGGGCGUGAAACCGCUGAGAUGGAAACGGAUAGAGUUAACAAAACUUAUCGGUAUUCAACCAAUCAAUUUAGCAAUCAUAAUUCAUUUCAUUAUUCAUUAAUAAUUUUUUUUUUUUUAUUAAUGAAUAAAAUGAUAUUAAUGCUAAAUUAGCAGUAUAUGCAUAGAUUGGUGUAUUUACCGAUGGUAUGCAUCGAGAACUUCAUUUUAGCAUAUUAAUACAAGUUAAUUUAGUGGACCAAUUAUUUCAAUUGAUAAUUGGAAUCCUAAAUUAUGUUGAAAUAUGUCUUARAUGAAGUUUUUUUUUUUUUUUCCCAUAUAUGUAACUUUCACUUGAAAUAAUAGUGACAUGUAUCGAUUAUAAUUUUGCUUAUUAUUAUUUUACAUGUGGUCGCAUGCGCCUUUAUCGGUAAAAAUAAUUGGUAAUAUUAUAAUAUUGUAUGCAAUAAAGUUACAUCUCGAUGUGAACGUUAAUCACCUAUCUGACCCGUCUUGAAACACGGACCAAGGAGU
rnacentral:rRNA from 1 species